GAAACAGUAUGACAGUCGGACAGUGAGGAUGAUAUCAAAUAGAUGCGUUAAGUAGAAUACUAUCCUUUGCAUAAAACCCUUCAAGUAACCAAAAACAAUGUCAUUUUAAAAUGAUACAAUAGCAAUAUAUGAUUGAAAUAAACAACGCAAUAACCGAAGACAGUAAACGGACUUGCGAACCCGAGGCAGGUGGUGGAUUGGAGAGAUGGGCCACGUGUAGCGUCUAGUCUGCCGUCCAGUAGUUUACACAGGGUGUCUCAUGUGAAUGUUACUCUAUACUUAAGAUUAUUUAAUUUACAUUUGCAUUUUAAGUUAUUAUAAUAAAUAAUUCGAAUAGAAAAACAGUAGAUAGUUAAA